AUGGGCGUCAAAUUCAUGGUCCUAGCAGAGUAUGAGGCAGCCCUCACAAUGGCCCAGGAGGUUGUGUCCAAGAUCACCCUGGAGGACUCUGGCCUUGGGCUGGUGACAACAACUGAGACUGUCAGACUGACCUGCUCCUUAUCUGGCUUCUCUGUGAGCACAAGUGGAAUAGUUGUGGGCUGGAUGCAUCAACCCCCAGGAAAGUCCCUGGAGUGGGUGGCCAACAUUGAUUGGGAUGGUGAUAAAUACUACAGCCCAGCCCUAAAGAGCCAGCUCUCCAUCUCCAAGGACACCCCCAACAACCAGGUGUUCCUCACGAUGAGCAGUGUGGACUCUGCUGACACAGCCACAUAUUACUGUGCAAGAGGAGCACAGAGGCUCAGCCUCAGGAUCCUCCUGUACAAGAACUAA